GAUGAACGCUGGCGGCGUGCCUAAUACAUGCAAGUCGAGCGAACAGACGAGGAGCUUGCUCCUCUGACGUUAGCGGCGGACGGGUGAGUAACACGUGGAUAACCUACCUAUAAGACUGGGAUAACUUCGGGAAACCGGAGCUAAUACCGGAUAAUAUAUUGAACCGCAUGGUUCAAUAGUGAAAGACGGUUUUGCUGUCACUUAUAGAUGGAUCCGCGCCGCAUUAGCUAGUUGGUAAGGUAACGGCUUACCAAGGCGACGAUGCGUAGCCGACCUGAGAGGGUGAUCGGCCCCACUGGAACUGAGACACGGUCCAGACUCCUACGGGAGGCAGCAGUAGGGAAUCUUCCGCAAUGGGCGAAAGCCGGACGGAGCAACGCCGCGUGAUUGAUGAAGGUCUUCGGAUCUUAAACCUCUGUUAUUAGGGAAGACCAAAUGUGUAAGUAACUAUGCACGUCUUGACGGUACCUAAUCAGAAAGCCACGGCUAACUACGUG
rnacentral:rRNA from 1 species